GACGAACGCUGGCGGCGUGCUUAACACAUGCAAGUCGAACGGUGAAGCUCCAGCUUGCUGGAGUGGAUCAGUGGCGAACGGGUGAGUAACACGUGAGCAACCUGCCCCUGACUCUGGAGUAAGCGCUGGAAACGGCGUCUAAUACUGGAUACGAGAAGGGUCCGCAUGGGCACUUUCUGGAAAGUUUUUCGGUUGGGGAUGGGCUCGCGGCCUAUCAGCUUGUUGGUGAGGUAAUGGCUCACCAAGGCGACGACGGGUAGCCGGCCUGAGAGGGCGACCGGCCACACUGGGACUGAGACACGGCCCAGACUCCUACGGGAGGCAGCAGUGGGGAAUAUUGCACAAUGGGCGAAAGCCUGAUGCAGCGACGCCGCGUGAGGGAUGACGGCCUUCGGGUUGUAAACCUCUUUCAGCAGGGAAGAAGCGAAAGUGACGGUACCUGCAGAAGAAGCACCGGCUAACUACGUG
rnacentral:rRNA from 1 species